AUUGAACGCUGGCGGCAUGCUUUACACAUGCAAGUCGAACGGUAACAGGCCUUCGGGUGCUGACGAGUGGCGAACGGGUGAGUAAUGCAUCGGAACGUGCCCAAUCGUGGGGGAUAACGUAGCGAAAGUUACGCUAAUACCGCAUAAGCCCUGAGGGGGAAAGUGGGGGACCGCAAGGCCUCACGCGAAUGGAGCGGCCGAUGUCAGAUUAGCUAGUUGGUGGGGUAAAGGCCUACCAAGGCGACGAUCUGUAGCGGGUCUGAGAGGAUGAUCCGCCACACUGGGACUGAGACACGGCCCAGACUCCUACGGGAGGCAGCAGUGGGGAAUUUUGGACAAUGGGCGCAAGCCUGAUCCAGCCAUGCCGCGUGCGGGAAGAAGGCCUCGG
rnacentral:rRNA from 1 species